GCAUGGGAGGGCAGUCAAACAGCUAUUUGCAUAUGAUAAAUGCACCAGCGGUGACCACAUGCAGGAGGAAGCAGGACAGGAAGAGACGAUUUAAGGAGGACGUUUGCUCUUCAGAAGGAUCUCAGCAGAUUAGAUCUAAUCAAACACACAAAUGGACGGAUGUGUGUGUGUGAUGGUGCCAGCUGAAGGAUCACCCGUCCUCUCGGGUCUGGACCCUCGGCACCAGAACAGAGCUGUCUGUCACAUCCACCCGUGCAGCUCUCAGGGUGAGAAAUAUCCUCGCUGCUCUCCCACCCGGGUUGUGUGUGGUCCUUACCUCGUCAUCAUCAGCAUCGUACUGGGCGUACUGCUGCUCCAGCAGCUCUCUCUGUCUCCUCUCCUGUUCCAGGGUCUGCUGGAUGAGCGUGGCCACCUCACUCUGCUGGCCCGGAC